GUGUUGUCUGAACAGAGAGAAGGCUAGCACUCCCCUUGACAAGGGUGGAAGAGGCUCUCGGGCUAACAACACUGAUACAGUGAAGGCAUUGCUGCCUACUUUAUGGCAUCUGACCAUCAUUUUAA